rnacentral:ncRNA from 1 species
UAUUCGUAUAAUCCCGGGAAUUGGCCCGGGAGUUUCUACGAGGUCACCGUAAUGGCCUGGCUACGAAAA